UGAGGACUGUUUGUACGAAGAGCGAGACAAGCUGGAGGAGCACAGAAUCAUGUCUCCCUUCUGGAAAAAGCAACAUGUCUAAUAAGUGCAUAGAGCUCUGUUUUUCAGAAACUACGUCUAAUCAUCUCUUUCUUUUCCACCAAACCCACUCCAUGCACACUUGUGACCUUGCUUCGUCGGCACAAUCACAAUAAAUGUGUAAAGACGACCGAAUCAAAAGAAAAGUUAAAGGAAGAAAAAUGCCCAAAGGUGACAUCUGACUCCUGAUGAUAUAAAAUGUUAAUUAGGUUUCUGCAGGUGUGGAGGUUAAGCUCAAAUGAAGCACAUGUGUUGAAUUCAGAUUAGACUCCAUCCUGCUGCUUAUAGCAUCACUUGCUUUAUUUCAUAUCGCAGUCAGCCAUGAAAAUCGUCGUUGUGUGUGGCCACGGGAAACAAAGCGUGACCUGAUGUGUUCCCGUGAUUAGAGCGGCUGUGAGGAAGGACACUGAAGAACAGUCUUUGAGUCUCUCCACAAACUCUCACUCUGAAACAAGAAGAGAGAUGGGGGGACGGCUGUCUUAUCGCUGAUUGGAUUUGAUUUCGGAGGAACACAAUUACCCGCGGAUCGAACCUCCCCGGUGAAGGUCUCCGUACCACCUGUGGGGUUUUCAGCCAAAAUGAUGGCUCUACAUAUCACCGACACUGCAGGCGGACACAGCAGUGAGAGCUUCCCACUUCAAAACACGAGGGGCCAAAUCGAGGAAUUGGUUCUUCAUCACAUGUCGGUAAUAGGAUGUCUAAACUCGAAUAGAGGAGAGAUGCUCACAACAAAAGCUGAUCCGAAAAGGAAGUCAAGUAAACCCUGGACCAGUUCCGAGUGGAGCGCCUGAGUAAAGGACUACAGGCUGGACCCGCUACCCACAGGAACGUAGCCUAGCGCAUCCAAUUAAAUGACGGACAGGUUUGCGGAUGAGACAAACACAGCCCUGUUGUUGUCUCUUGCAUGUCAGCUAAUGGAGUUGUGCUUGCAGCUUGGUUGCGCAGCACCGAGCGUCUCUGCUGGGACUCUGGAUCAGGAUUGAAAAUGUAUCCAACACUAGACUUCUGCUUCUCGUUCUAGCACGACGAUUGAUCUUUGUUUUGUUAAACUGAGAACACGGCCUCCUGAAGAAGCAUCAUACAUGAUUGAAAUGUUCUUUUGGGGUCAGUUUGAGGGGAUUCUGACUUUCCUUGUAAAAAGAUCCAGACUUAAAUAUAGAUAAUGAAAAGGAUCUCCAAGAAAUUCUGCAUGAUUAUUCUAAUUUAUGAACAAAUAGUCCACAUGUGAUCCUGAUGUGGAGCUCCAGGAGGGCAGAAAAGGCCAAGAGUAAAA